GAGAGAGAGAGAAAGCGAAAUAAGUGAAGUGAAUAAUUGAAUGAUAACAAUAUUAUACAAUUCGCAGCGAGGUUAAGUUACAGCAAUUAUAAUACAGUUGCAUAAUGAUGUAACACUACUGAGAAUAAAAAAGUGUAUUAUAGACUGGCUAAGACAUGCCAAAGAAAGAUACGUAAGACAUUCGAACAAUGACAAUGAGGAAGCAGCAAGACCACAAACAAUAUUACUUUUAUUACUUUUUGUAUUAUUUCGUAUUUUAUUACUUUUCGUAUUAUGUUUCUGUUUCGUGUCAUAUCGGAGGUAUGUGUUUAAAGCUUUUUCUUUGUGCUGCAAGAACUUACAAGAAUUUUUUAUUUACUUUUAACACUUAGAAACUUGUGAUAAUUUUAAGAGGUACUGUUAAGAGUUAUGCUUAUAAAGUUUAUAAAGUUUCCUUUUAUAAAUGAAAAGUUAUGUUAUUGUAAACUUUAUGUUUUUUUAAAGAGAUUUGUUACUAUUAUAUAAGAUUAAUAUAUACUUCUACAGCCGAUUUUUACAUUGAAAGACUGAUUAUAUAAAUAAACAUUUAUUCUGCAAUGUAAA